GAUCAGCAUGGCAUAGUGGAUCGAGCGUUGGACUAUGACUCUAGAGGCCAGGGUUCGAUUCCCAGCUUGGUCA